AAACAAACCUGAUUGGAGUGGCAAUCCUUUUUGUCACCCUGAGCGUAGUCGAAGGGCAAAAAGAUUGUAACGGAAAGCAGGGCUAACA
rnacentral:sRNA from 1 species